rnacentral:rRNA from 1 species
GACGAACGCUGGCGGCGUGCUUAACACAUGCAAGUCGAACGCUGAAGACCUGGCUUUUGUUGGGUUGGAUGAGUGGCGAACGGGUGAGUAACACGUGAGUAACCUGCCCUCUUCUUUGGGAUAACGCCCGGAAACGGGUGCUAAUACUGGAUAUUCACUGAUCUUCGCAUGGGGGUUGGUGGAAAGGUUUGUUCUGGUGGGGGAUGGGCUCGCGGCCUAUCAGCUUGUUGGUGGGGUGAUGGCCUACCAAGGCUUUGACGGGUAGCCGGCCUGAGAGGGUGACCGGUCACAUUGGGACUGAGAUACGGCCCAGACUCCUACGAGAGGCAGCAGUGGGGAAUAUUGCACAAUGGGCGAAAGCCUGAUGCAGCGACGCCGCGUGAGGGAUGGAGGCCUUCGGGUUGUAAACCUCUUUCGCUCAUGGUCAAGCCGCAACUGUGGGUUGUGGUGAGGGUAGUGGGUAAAGAAGCGCCGGCUAACUACGUG